GACAGAGGGGGCAACCGUUGUUCGGAUUCAUUGGGCGUAAAGGGUGCGUAGGCGGCGGGGCAAGUCAGGUGUGAAAUCUCGGGGCUCAACCCCGAAACUGCACUUGAUACUGCCUUGCUCGAGUACUGGAGAGGAGACUGGAAUUUACGGUGUAGCAGUGAAAUGCGUAGAUAUCGUAAGGAAGACCAGUGGCGAAGGCGAGUCUCUGGACAGUUACUGACGCUGAGGCACGAAGGCCAGGGGAGCAAACGGG
rnacentral:rRNA from 1 species